UGGAGGGUUGAGAAGGUGUGGCAGCAUGAUCACAGUGCUGCCACAACUGGUUAAAGCCUCCGAGAGCAACAUCGCAACCCAGCGAAUCACAGUAAGUGGUCUUUGUGAGACCAGCGCUGUGUUGUGUACACCAC
ensembl:snoRNA small nucleolar RNA SNORA47